AGAUACAGUUUCAUGCUAUACAUAAGAGAACAUUAGAUUAUCAUCUAUUCUCCUUGCCAAGUGCCACGUUCAAUAAGGCUGAGAAGAAUAAGGCAUGGAAAGACCAGGUAACUUAACCAGAAGAGCCCAGCUGGCAAGGGGAAGAGUCAGGAGGAGACCCUGGACAUCUGUCUGACUUCAGUAUAUAUGCUCUUAAUCUAAGUCACUUCCUGGGAGAUGCCUUGUCUGACCACCCUAAGAGAUCACUCUCCCUAUUCACUACCACUCUUCCCUUGGGGCAGGAGGCAACUUGAGACUCUUUCAGACAUUCGGCUGAACUGCAUUUCUAAGCCCAUCUGGAUUUACGCUGUAAGCAGUAGUGACAUGGACCACUGGCAGACCAUCCAUGAGGCUUUCUCUGUCAAUGCCCUGCCUUAUGGCUUUCAACUUGCUAAUUAGAGAGAAGGGAGGAAGCCCUCAAAAUGGCAGCAGCAACAACAGACAGAGUCUGGGUCCAUGAAAGACUGAAUGGAGCCCAGGUCUUACCACCCCCACACCAACCCUAAUCCACAGUGUCUGUCCACACUAGACUGUGACAUGCGUAUAACAGAUAAAUCAAGUUUUAUUAGGCUAAGCGGCUGAUAUGAUAUUUGGGAGUGGUUUACUUACCCUAGCUAAUUUCACACUGUUGUUUUCCUUCAUAGCACUGAUUACAAUUAUAUUUGUAUUUUACUUGUAUAUCACUCAUUCAAUAUUGUCACAUUUGCUCAACUGUAAGUUUCUUAAGAGAGUGAUUGAAUCUAUUUCAUCUACUAUCAUAGUGAAUGCCUAGCAAGAGUCCAGCUUGAAGCACACAUGUAUUUGUUAAAUGGAUGCUGGGAAGACGGAAGCCAGUGCAGCAAAAUAAAUGGGUACACCUGAUCACAAAGUGCUUCCUCCCCAGUGUGAUGUGGCUACUUUUAAUAGGGUUUAGGUUCAAGAACCAGGAGUGCCAGCAUCUACAAGCAUAUUCCUAAAUAAAAGCUUUAGGUUAAAAGACUGUAUAUACUCUUCUCCAAGAUAGUUAUUUCUGUGGAAUUAAAAUGCAGGACCAAAUUAAGUUUCUGGAUCUAGCAGCAUUCCGCUUUGCAGGGCUUCAUCAUAGCUUUGCAGCAAAGCUCUGCACAGAGGUUGGGGCACUGGAAUGCUGCACUGAGACAUAAGACCCUGACCCCUUCUCUGUGGGGCUGCUCUCCAUUAGUUGAGUUCUUGAAAACACACUAAGAAUUUAAUCUACACUUAUGAUGUGUCCAUGGUUCCUUCCUGCUAUCAUAGCUUCCUCAAGAAGAUACAAUACAUGAAAGGAAAGCUUUUCUACAUAAGAGCUGAUAUGGGUUGGGCUUUGUGUCCCCAUUCAAAUCUCAUAUUGAAUUGUAAUCCCAAUAAUUCCCAUAAUCCCCAGGUGUCAAGGGAGAAACCAAAUGGAGAUAAUUGAAGCAGGGGGUGGUUUCCCCAGUGCUGUUCUCAUGAGACUGAAUAAGUUCUCAUGAGAGCUGAUGGUUUUAUAAAGGGCUUUUCUCCCCUUCUCUCAGCAUUUCUCCUUCCUGACAUCUUGUUAAGAAGGCUACUUGUGCUUCCUCUUCACCUUCUACCACGAUUGUAAGUCUCUGGAGGCCUCCCAACCAUGCUGAACUGUGAGUCAAUUAAACAUCUUUCCUUUAUGUAUUACCCAGUCUCGGCAAGUUCUUUAUAGCAGUAUGAAAAUGAACUAAUACAGUAAAUUGUUACUGGGAGUGAAGUGCUGCCAUAAAGACUCUUGAAAUUGUGUAAAUGACUUUGACAGUGGAUAACAAGCAGGGGUUAGAACAGUUUGAAGGGCUCAGAAGAAGAGAGAAAGUUUUGAACUUCCUAGAGACUUGUCAGAUAGCUUUGACAAAGAUGCUGGCAGUGAUAUGGACAAUGAAAUCCAGGCUGAAAUGGUCUCAGAGGGAGAUGAAGAACUCAUCGGGAGUUGAUGAAAAGGUGACUCUUGUUAUGCUUUAGCAAAGAGGCUGGAAGCAUUUUGCCCCUGCCCUAGAGAUCUGUGGAAUUUUGCUCUUAAGAGAAAUGACUUAGGGUAUCUGGCAGAAGAAAUUUCUAAGCAGCAAAGCAUUCAAGCAGUGACUUGGGUGUUCUUAAAAGUCUUCAGUUCUGUGCAUUCACAGAGAUGGUUUGGAAUUGGAACUUAUGUUUAAAAGGGAAGCAGUGCAUAAAAGUUUGAAAAAUUUGCAGCCUGAUGACAAGAUAGAAAAUAAAAACCCAUUUUCUCAGGAGAAAUUCAAGCCAUCUGUAGAAAUUUGCAUAAGUUACUAGAAGCCAAAUGUAAAUCACCAAGAGAAUGUGGAAAUGUCUCCAGGGCAUGUCAGGGGUCUUCAUAGCAGCCUCUCCCAUCAUAGGCCCACAGGCCUAAGAGGAAAAAUGGUUUGCUGGGCCAGGCCCAAGGCUUUUCUGCUUUGUGCAGUCUCAGCACUUGGUGCCCCGCAGCCCAGCUGUGACUAAAAGGGUCCAAUGUACAACUCACACUGUUGUUUCAGAGGAUACAAGCUCCAAGCUUUGGCAGCUUCCACAUGGUGUUGGGCCUGUGGGUGCAUUGAAGUCAAGAACUGAGUUUGGGAUCCUCCACCUAGAUUUCAGAGGAUGUAUGGAAAUGCCUGGAAGUCCAGGUAGAAGUUUGCUGUAGGAAUGAAAUCCUCAUGAAUAGCCUCUGCUAGGGCAGUGCAGAAGAGAAAUGUGGGUGUGGGAUCAGAGUCACCACACAGAGUCCCCAUGGGGGCAAAGCCUAGUGGAGCUGUGAGAAGAGAGUCACUGUCUUCCAGAUCCCAUAAUGGUAGAUCAACUGACAGUUUGAAUUGUGUACCUGGAAAAGCCACAGACACGCAACACCAGUCCAUGAAAGCAGCAGUGUGGGGGUUGGAGGGGGGUGCUGUACCCUAUAAAGCCACAGGGGUGGAGCUGCCCAAGACCAUGGAAACCCACUUCUUGCAUCAGCAUGACCCAAAUGUGAGAUAUAGAGUCAAAGGCUAUCAUUCUGGAGCUUUAAAAUUUGACUGUCUGGCUGGAUUUCAGACUUACAUGGGGCCUGUAUCCCCCUCAUUUUGGAAAAAGGUCUUCAGGAAGAGACCAGGUAGAGGUAAUUGAACCAUGGGAGUGGUUUCUCCCAUGCUGUUCUCAUGAUAGUGGGUGAGUUCUCAUGAGAUCUGAUGGUUUUAUAAGGGACUCUUCCCCUUUUCUCUCAGCACUUCUUCUUGCCACCUCAUGAAGACGUUGUCCUGCUUCUUCUUUGCCUUCUGCCAUGAUGAUAACCCAAGGCCUCCCCAGACAUGCUGAACAGUUAAACCUCUUUCCUUAA